AGCCUCCUUAUCAAUAAAAUAAGGUAAUGGCAUAUUUUUAAGUCUGCCCUUUAAUAAAAGGGCGGACAACUCUUUGUCCCUUUCUCGUAAGAGAAGGGGAAUCUUGUGAUGCGUGUAUGUGGUCGCACGGUCACUUUCUUUCAAACAUGUCCUCGAUGCAUGUAUGUGGUCGCAUGGUCGAAAAUCUCUAAUAUAAUGACAACGUUAACAAAGGCGUUUUGGUCCAGAUUUUAAAAUCCUAAGUAGGAGAAAUAAAAUAUUAUUAGGAGUUGAGAAAUAAAAUCUUAUUUAGGAGGAGCUUCAAAAGACUAAAUACAGAGAAAAACGUUCUUAAAACUUUUUACAUGCAAAUCCUGCAAAGUUCUUUUGAACUCUUACAGCAUUUGCAAUGUUAUCAGGGGAGGUCACUCUAAUCGACUCUUUUUAGUGCAACAGUUACCUCCCUUUGAACCUUCACACCAUUUGCAAUGUUUUCAGGGGAAAUCAUUCUAACAAACUCUGUUUUUAAACGAACGCAACAGUAACCUCCCAUUAGAAACCUUACGCCAUUUGCAAUGUUAUCAGGAGAAGUUACUCUAAUCGACUCUUUUUUAUGUGUAACAGUUACCUCCCUU